rnacentral:tRNA from 1 species
GAGGAUAUAGCUUAGAGAUAGUGUGCUUGCUUAGCAUGCAUGAGGUCCUAGGUUCAAUCCCCAGUACCUCCA